CCGCUCGUGAAAAACGUUGAUACAUUUAACAUCAAAAUUUCAAUAUUUAUUUUAAAGGGGCUUAAACUGCCGUCCAUAUUCUGAAAUACCUCUGCCAUUGCGGCUUAAUAAUAAAUUAAUUAAAAAAAGAAAAUUUAAAGCUGUAAAAUAAAUGAAAUGCUACAAUACAAAGAGAUAAUGAAUCUACCACCGGAUUGGAAACACGACCCACUGAGAAGACCCGGCGAAAAACUCAGUGGGCUGUGUCUAUCGGGCGAAGCGAUGAGACCAAUCAGGAGUCCCGAAAAUAAAGAAAGGAUAAUUUUCGAUGCGGAAAAUUAAAUAAAACACAUGAACGAUUGAAACUAUAAA